rnacentral:rRNA from 1 species
CGCUGGCGGCAUGCCUAACACAUGCAAGUCGAACGGGGGUAGCAAUACCCUAGUGGCGAACGGGUGAGUAACACAUAAGCAAUCUGCCCUUCACAGGGGGAUAACAGCGGGAAACUGCUGCUAAUACCGUAUAAGACCACGGUACCGCAUGGUACAGGGGUAAAAACGGAUCAGUGGUGAAGGAUGAGCUUAUGUCCCAUUAGCUAGUUGGUGAGAUAACAGCCCACCAAGGCGACGAUGGGUAGCCGACCUGAGAGGGUGAUCGGCCACACUGGAACUGAGACACGGUCCAGACUCCUACGGGAGGCAGCAGUGGGGAAUAUUGGGCAAUGGAGGAAAAACCUCUUACCCAGCAAUGCCGCGUGAGUGAAGAAGGUCUUCGGAUUGUAAAGCUCUUUGAUUGGGGACGAAGAAAGUGACGGUACCCAAAGAACAAGCCCCGGCUAACUACGUGCCAGCCGCUGC